CCUACGGGGGGCUGCAGUGGGGAAUAUUGGACAAUGGGGGCAACCCUGAUCCAGCCAUGCCGCGUGUGUGAAGAAGGCCCUCGGGUUGUAAAGCACUUUCAGUGAGGAAGAACGCCUGGUGGUUAAUACCCAUCAGGAAAGACAUCACUCACAGAAGAAGCACCGGCUAACUCCGUGCCAGCAGCCGCGGUAAUACGGAGGGUGCGAGCGUUAAUCGGAAUUACUGGGCGUAAAGCGCGCGUAGGUGGCUUGAUAAGCCGGUUGUGAAAGCCCCGGACUCAACCUGGGAACGGCAUCCGGAACUGUCAAGCUAGAGUGCAGGAGAGGAAGGUAGAAUUCCCGGUGUAGCGGUGAAAUGCGUAGAGAUCGGGAGGAAUACCAGUGGCGAAGGCGGCCUUCUGGACUGACACUGACACUGAGGUGCGAAAGCGUGGGUAGCAAACAGGAUUAGAUACCCGAGUAGUC
rnacentral:rRNA from 1 species